rnacentral:misc_RNA from 1 species
UCCGGGUUGGACCCGGCGGUCCCGCCAGACAUGGUAACUGGCAGCGAGGGUUGCGCUCGUUGCGGGACUUAACCCAACACCUCACGACACGAGCUGACGACAACCAUGCACCACCUGUGUAGAGCCCCGAAGGACACCGUAUCUCUACGGCUUUUCUCUACAUGUCAAGCCCAGGUAAGGUUCUUCGCGUUGCCUCGAAUUAAGCCACAUGCUCCGCCGCUUGUGCGGGCCCCCGUCAAUUCCUUUGAGUUUCACCCUUGCGGGCGUACUCCCCAGGUGGAUAACUUAACGCUUUCGCUAAGACGCUGGCCGUGUAUCGCCAACAUCGAGUUAUCAUCGUUUACGGCGUGGACUAC